rnacentral:rRNA from 1 species
CGUGCCUAAUACAUGCAAGUCGAGCGAACGGACGAGAAGCUUGCUUCUCUGAUGUUAGCGGCGGACGGGUGAGUAACACGUGGAUAACCUACCUAUAAGACUGGGAUAACUUCGGGAAACCGGAGCUAAUACCGGAUAAUAUUUUGAACCGCAUGGUUCAAAAGUGAAAGACGGUCUUGCUGUCACUUAUAGAUGGAUCCGCGCUGCAUUAGCUAGUUGGUAAGGUAACGGCUUACCAAGGCAACGAUGCAUAGCCGACCUGAGAGGGUGAUCGGCCACACUGGAACUGAGACACGGUCCAGACUCCUACGGGAGGCAGCAGUAGGGAAUCUUCCGCAAUGGGCGAAAGCCUGACGGAGCAACGCCGCGUGAGUGAUGAAGGUCUUCGGAUCGUAAAACUCUGUUAUUAGGGAAGAACAUAUGUGUAAGUAACUGUGCACAUCUUGACGGUACCUAAUCAGAAAGCCACGGCUAACUACGUGCCAGCAGCCGCGGUAAUACGUAGGUGGCAAGCGUUAUCCGGAAUUAUUGGGCGUAAAGCGCGCGUAGGCGGUUUUUUAAGUCUGAUGUGAAAGCCCACGGCUCAACCGUGGAGGGUCAUUGGAAACUGGAAAACUUGAGUGCAGAAGAGGAAAGUGGAAUUCCAUGUGUAGCGGUGAAAUGCGCAGAGAUAUGGAGGAACACCAGUGGCGAAGGCGACUUUCUGGUCUGUAACUGACGCUGAUGUGCGAAAGCGUGGGGAUCAAACAGGAUUAGAUACCCUGGUAGUCCACGCCGUAAACGAUGAGUGCUAAGUGUUAGGGGGUUUCCGCCCCUUAGUGCUGCAGCUAACGC